rnacentral:rRNA from 2 species
UGGGGAAUAUUGCACAAUGGAGGGAACUCUGAUGCAGCGACGCCGCGUGAACGAAGAAGGCUUUCGAGUCGUAAAGUUCUUUUAUAUGGGAAGAUAAUGACGGUACCAUAAGAAAAAGCCCCGGCUAACUACGUGCCAGCAGCCGCGGUAAUACGUAGGGGGCUAGCGUUGUCCGGAAUCACUGGGCGUAAAGGGUUCGCAGGCGGAAAUGCAAGUCAGGUGUAAAAGGCAGUAGCUUAACUACUGUAAGCAUUUGAAACUGCAUAUCUUGAGAAGAGUAGAGGUAAGUGGAAUUUUUAGUGUAGCGGUGAAAUGCGUAGAUAUUAAAAAGAAUACCGGUGGCGAAGGCGACUUACUGGGCUCAUUCUGACGCUGAGGAACGAAAGCGUGGGUAGAAAACAGG